UACGUAGGUGACCAGCGUUGUCCGGAUUUACUGGGCGUAAAGAGCGCGCAGGCGGUCGUUCAAGUCGAGUGUGAAAGCCCCCGGCUCAACUGGGGAGGGUCAUUCGAUACUGAUCGACUGGAAGGCAGGAGAGGGAAGCGGAAUUCCCGGUGUAGUGGUGAAAUGCGUAGAUAUCUGGAGGAACACCGGUGGCGAAGGCGGCAUCCUGGACCGGUAUUGACGCUGAGGCGCGAAAGCGUGGGGAGCAAACAGG
rnacentral:rRNA from 1 species